ACUCCCAUAGUUCAACUGGAUAGAAUAACCGCCUCCUAAGCAGUAGAUCUGGGUUCGAGUCCCGGUGGGAGUACUA
rnacentral:tRNA from 1 species